CCUACGGGCGGCUGCAGUGGGGAAUAUUGGACAAUGGGGGCAACCCUGAUCCAGCCAUGCCGCGUGUGUGAAGAAGGCCCUCGGGUUGUAAAGCACUUUCAGUGAGGAAGAACGCCUGGUGGUUAAUACCCAUCAGGAAAGACAUCACUCACAGAAGAAGCACCGGCUAACUCCGUGCCAGCAGCCGCGGUAAUACGGAGGGUGCGAGCGUUAAUCGGAAUUACUGGGCGUAAAGCGCGCGUAGGUGGCUUGAUAAGCCGGUUGUGAAAGCCCCGGGCUCAACCUGGGAACGGCAUCCGGAACUGUCAAGCUAGAGUGCAGGAGAGGAAGGUAGAAUUCCCGGUGUAGCGGUGAAAUGCGUAGAGAUCGGGAGGAAUACCAGUGGCGAAGGCGGCCUUCUGGACUGACACUGACACUGAGGUGCGAAAGCGUGGGUAGCAAACAGGAGUAGAUACCCUUGUAGUC
rnacentral:rRNA from 1 species